AUACGAAGGGUGCAAGCGUUAAUCGGAAUUACUGGGCGUAAAGCGCGCGUAGGUGGUUCGUUAAGUUGGAUGUGAAAGCCCCGGGCUCAAUCUGGGAACUGCAUCCAAAACUGGCGAGCUAGAGUAUAGCAGAGGGUGGUGGAAUUUCCUGUGUAGCGGUGAAAUGCGUAGAUAUAGGAAGGAACACCAGUGGCGAAGGCGACCACCUGGGCUAGUACGGACACUGAGGUGCGAAAGCGUGGGGGGCAAACAGGAUUAGAUCCCCGGGUAGUCCACGCCGUAAACGAUGUCGACUAGCCGUUGGGAUCCUUGAGAUCUUAGUGGCGCAGCUAACGCAUUAAGUCGACCGCCUGGGGAGUACGGCCGCAAGGUUAAAACUCAAAUGAAUUGACGGGG
rnacentral:rRNA from 1 species